GAGAAAGAGCAUGUGAGGUCGUGACACACACACAUAGAGUUAAAUUUAUUUAGAGGAACCGUCCUUGUUGUCUCGGCAAGAAAGAGGAACAAUUCAUUUUAAGAUAAGAACGGAAAGUACCAAGCCAUGAAAAUAGAAGAUGAUUUUCUAGGGGAAAAGUCAUGAAGAUGUUGAUCUGAUCUAUGUAUAAAAUGUGUCUGUGACGUAUGAAGGGGCGUCAGUAAACAAACCCUGAUGCUAUAAAAUAUCUGUUCAUGCUUUGAUUAAGUCGAAGACUACUUCCUGUCUGCGUACAGAGUUCUCUUCCCACGCGUGUAUUCAUUAAAAUCAUCGUUUGACUUCACCCGGCCGGAUCGGUGUGGUUAUUCUUCGAUCACCUCUUGUACCCUUCCUCAAUAUUGAAUCUUAACAUUUGGGGGCUUCGUCCGGUUAUUGAGGAAGGAGAGUUGGAGGUUUGGACGGAGAAAUCCGGGGUCUUAGGUGGUCUGACGGGCAGACAUGAAUUCCAGUGGUCUAAGUGAGUGGGCAUAAGCCGGCUUAUCCAAAAGGUAAGGCACUACCUGUUGAAUUAUUUCCAAAGUGUGCCAAAUUGGACAUGAUAAAAUUUAAGUCUACUCACUGAAGUUACUGGUGGAUGUCUGUUUUGAUUUUGAUGAAAAUCUCAUGAGUUGAAGCAGUUAGAGUUCUGCUAUGAAGAAAUGAAAGUAGUUAAGAGUCUGAUAAGAAAAGUUUAAAUACUGGGUUGAAGUCCCAAAGAAAUUGAGUUAGAGUCUCAAGUAGUUUGGUAGGGAAUUGGUUAUUGUGUUGGUUAGAGUCCAAAUUUGGUCAUAAGAGUGGACCUGAGUGGUCAUUUUGUGAGUUGGAGUCUCCAUUGACCACUAGGUUGCACCUGCCUCAGUUAUACACUUGUUUCGGGUGUUGAUUGUUGUUUCAAAAUAUUAUAAAUUAUUCUAGAACGGCAGUUCGAGUCUGCUAGGAAGCGCAGAGCCCGGAGGUUACGCUCCCUCCUUGUCGUGGACGCGCGACAUUGACCUCUCGGCGAAGAGGGUUAGUUCAGUGUGGUUUAGCUGUGGGGUACAGGGCAGCCUGGAAUUAAACUAGGAGUUAGAGUCUCCUUACCGUUUGAAACGGUAUCUGCGCUUUUUUGGACAGGAGAAGUUGGUCUUCGGGCGUGUAACUUUAACUUAACACUUCGAGGUAAGCCUUGGCUGUGAAAUGCCAAAAAUAGAGCUUCAGGCAAAGUUUGGGUUGGUUGACGCUUUUAAAUUGAGUUAGGGAUUUUAGAAAUGAGGCCAGAAACAGUUAAAGUCUUGAUACUGGUUAAUUAGUGGGCGGUUAUUUUAAAUUUGUCGAAAUUGGUUAGGCGCUAAAGCUGACAGAUCUGACAGUAGUUGUAAAUAUAAGACGUCGUUGUAAUAUAGAAUAAUAAAAUUUGGUGUGAGAGAUCUCUGUGUGUCGAGUCAGUAAUGCACUGACUGCCUGCUGCUAUUUUUGGAGGUGUGUGUGUGAGUGAAAAUGCAAAUGAGUAAGCAGUGAACUGUUUAAGCCACAGUUGGUUUUACAAAUACUGCUGCAAACAUUGUUGAGUGUGUGUUUCAAAUGCCAUUUAUGUUUAGUAAAGGACUAUAAAUAAAGUUUUGAGUUGCCGUAGGGGAUGCAUAGUAACUGACUGAGUUUGGAUGUAGAUAUAUAAAUAGAUUGAGUGCACUGUAUAUACUUAAGACUAACACAUCACUUUCAGUAGUAACUUUUCUCCAGCAUUAGUUGCUGGUGGGUUUUAUUUUUUCAAUUUCUUGUGUGUGCGGUGAGAAUUAAUGGAGGUUUUAAAAUGAAGUUAGUGUUAACACAUAGGAGUUGUUUCAAGGCAGCAUUUAGCUAUGAUGAAAUGUAUACAGGAGUAAUUGCUUAUAUGCUUAAACUUAAUUGAUUAAAGUGGUUGUUUUCUUUUGGAGUAGAUUAACUUGCAGCAGCGACAACUUGUGCACAGGAUGUUGAUGAUCAGAUAAGGGAAAAUAGAGCGAGCAAUCGGACGUGAAAGCAGGGCUUAAAGAGUUCUAAAGGGAUGAGUAACGUUGAAGAAUAUACAUAAAUACAAGACAAUAAGUUAAGAGCAUAAUUAGGAUCAUGCUUUUGAUUAAAGAGUCCCAGAUAGGAUAAGUUAGGGAGAUGCAAGAAAAGGUGUUUUGUUUCCUUUGCAGAAGAUCUCGGCGACCACAGGAGGGGCGAGGAUCCUGGAGAUCUCGAGGUUCGAGACCACCAGAGAGGGGUCUGCGUGAGGACACAAUGUAUUGUGACCUCUGGUGUUCCAGAGGUCAAAAGGGGGAGUGUCGAGGAGGGAAAUUAUUUUACUGCUAUUGUUAAAUAAUUGUCAUUGCAUUAAUAAUAUAAUCUGCAGCAUGGAUAUUGCAUUCCAAGGUUUAAACAGUGUCUCUUUCAGAAAGACUGAGUUGCAGGCUGACAGGAAGUUGUAUGCAGAAGUGAAACCAGGAAGUUAUUUUGAGCCGCAGGCUAAGACGAGGCUUUAACAAUGUAACAGAUAGCUUUAAGAAGGCCUUAAGAUCAGAUCAUUUUAUAUUAAGGUUUUAGUAGAGGUUCUUGAUUAAAACAUUUAUUUAGUAGAAGACAUACACAUAGUCUCAGUGAGCUUCUGGUCUGGUAAAAGGUCAGAAGUGCAACAGGUGAAUUGAGAAAGAGCAUGUGAGGUCGUGACACACACACAUAGAGUUAAAUUUAUUUAGAGGAACCGUCCUUGUUGUCUCGGCAAGAAAGAGGAACAAUUCAUUUUAAGAUAAGAACGGAAAGUACCAAGCCAUGAAAAUAGAAGAUGAUUUUCUAGGGGAAAAGUCAUGAAGAUGUUGAUCUGAUCUAUGUAUAAAAUGUGUCUGUGACGUAUGAAGGGGCGUCAGUAAACAAACCCUGAUGCUAUAAAAUAUCUGUUCAUGCUUUGAUUAAGUCGAAGACUACUUCCUGUCUGCGUACAGAGUUCUCUUCCCACGCGUGUAUUCAUUAAAAUCAUCGUUUGACUUCACCCGGCCGGAUCGGUGUGGUUAUUCUUCGAUCACCUCUUGUACCCUUCCUCAAUAUUGAAUCUUAACAGAAGC
ensembl:lncRNA